rnacentral:misc_RNA from 1 species
AUCGCGUCGCCCACCCACCCCGUCCCCACGGGACGGGCGUGCGGUGGGCGGAUACUGGCCCCCCGUGCACGUYCGUGCUAGGUCGGCCCAAAAAGAGAGUCCCCGACGACGGACAUCACGACGAGUGGUGGUUGCCAAACCGUUGCGUCCCGUCGUGCAUGCCGACGUUGUCGCGGGAAUGUGACCCUUAAGCGCCGCUUAGCCGGCGCCUCGA